GGCCAUCUAUGUACAUGAUGUGGGUCAAUGAGGUUUACAUCCGAGAAAAUCAAAUGGUUUGAUAAAUACAUCUUGUCGCCGUUAUCAACGGGUGCAUGUCCCAAGUGAGUUACAGAUGCACCUAAAAGCCUCUUUUUGUCAUGGGACAAAAUCAUCCAACUGUAUGGCUAACAAAAAUGAAAGUAACUUAAGAUGGCAUCUUUACAAAUAUUUCUGCAAUAUUUUUAAUUUUAUUAUUUAUUUAUUUAUUUAUUAUGGUUAUUAUUUUUCUUUCUUCCUUUUUUUUUUUUGUUGGGGGGGGGGGGGUGUUGGUUUGGGGAUUGUUAUGGGUUAGGAAAUACAAAUUUUUUGCAUGGGAUCUAUUACAGCCUCGGGUAUUAUUUGACGUGUUCCCUGUUUAUGUAAUAAAAUAUAUUUUCCUGAUUCAAAUUUUUAUAUGCAUACCAAAUAAUGUUUAAAUAUAUGAGCUGUGAUAAUCCAUUGUUUUUCUAUGUAAUUGUUUAUGAUAUCCAAUGGAAGAUUAUACAGAACUACAGUUGAAUCAGGAAAAUGUUACUUUACAAUGGCAAAUAAUGGUAUUGGUCGAUUACUUUGGUUACAAUGAUAAGUAACAGCUCUGCAGGGAGUCCAAUAUCGGGGAUAUCAGCAACCUGCCAGCACUGAAACAUUUCUUGUUUACUUAAAAAUUAAUAUGUCAAUUCAGUCUCCAAUGUGUUCGGAUGAUAACAACAACCUCCAAUAUUUGCAAAAAAAAAUCAGUAGAAAAAGUCAUAUAUUAAGAAGAUUGUGUUGCAGUGUAUCAGAGCCUUGCCCCCUACCAUAUUUUCUCGAGCUUAUUAUUAGUGGCACUUUUUUUAACUCAUAGAAUUUUGGGCCUACUUUUCAUAUAGUCAGAUUUGCAGGACUUUAUUUAAGUCAUCUUUACACAAGUGUGGUGCUUUCUCUGGUUAUUCCUUCCUCGUAUCGAUGUGUUUCCAAGCACUAUUGUUUAUUUCCUAGUGCAUGCUUUUCACAGUCUCUUAUUCUUACACUGAAAUCUUUUGUCCAAGAUGCUUUAUAUCUUAUUAAACAGGGUAGCUCAUGGUCUAUUAAGGCCCUGUAUCUCGUUGAAGUUUCACAGUACUGCCUUCCUUCUCGGUAAUCAUAGGAGGUCUGGACAAUGGUUUACACUUGAAUUCUGCUAUGGGGAUGUUUCUCAAUUUAUCCAUUCAGAUGCAGCUCAGAAUCUAUCAUUGUUGGCUUCAAAUCAAAAGCUACAAAGCACUGGCUUCAUUGUUUACUUCCGCCACUACUCUCACAUCUAUAUUCAACUUGGAAGUCUAUACGACCUACUUUGGAUUAUCAAGUUAUAUUCUUCAGAGCUAUUAUCAACAACUACCAGCUGCUGCAUUAUCACUUACUGACUUGGUGUUUUUGAUGGUUCUUGUAACUUCAUCUUUAUAUCUUUGUUCUGUCUGUUCAUAGGACCUUUUUUUCUCCUCUUCUUCUAUUUGUUCUUGCUCCUGCUUGUGUUUGAUUGCAGGAAGUUUUGGACUUUUUGUUACUAAUAAUGUGUAAUUAGCUACUCUCUGGUGCACUUUCCUUAGAUUCUUAAUACAGUCUAUCGCUCCACUGUUA